GGCUAUUUCAGUGAAGCAAAGAACACACAGGUCACAGAGCUCCAUAUUCAUAUGAAAUGCAAAUUUUACACAAACAGGGUAAUUACACACUACAAUACUUCUCCCACUUUCCUCUUUGAUAAAUAUGAACAAUCAACACGGAAUCUGGGAAGUGAACCACUCCAUAACAUGAACUGGGGCUUUGAUCAGCUCCAACGCAAGCUCCACUAUCACCGUCAAGCACAAACAACAAGGACAUAUA
rnacentral:misc_RNA from 1 species